rnacentral:rRNA from 1 species
GACGAACGCUGGCGGCGUGCUUAACACAUGCAAGUCGAACGGAAAGGCCCUGCUUUUGUGGGGUGCCCGAGUGGCGAACGGGUGCGUAACACGUGUGUAACCUGCCCUUGACUUUGGGAUAACUUCAGGAAACUGGGGCUAAUAUCGGAUAGGAGCUCCUGCUGCAUGGUGGGGGUUGGAAAGUUUCGGCGGUUGGGGAUGGAUUCGCGGCUUACCAGCUUGUUGGUGGGGUAGUGGCAUACCAAGGCAUUGACGGGUAGCCCGCCUGGGAGGGUGACCGGCGACAUGGGGACUGAGAGACGGACCAGACUCCUACGGGAGACAACAGGGGGAAGUAUUGUACAAUGGUCGGGAGCCUGAGGCAGCAACGCCGCGGGCGUGAUGACGGCCUGCGGGGUGAGAACCGCUUUCGCCUGAGACGAAGCGUGAGUGACGGUAAUGAGUAAAGAAGCACCGGCUAACUACGUG